AAGUCGUAACAAGGUUUCCGUAGGUGAACCUGCGGAAGGAUCAUUAAUGAAAACAACCGUGCUUGUCUGAGCCCCAGGGGCUGUCGCUGGCCACCACAGAGGUGCGCACCGUGCACGCCCUUAAGGGGGAGAGACAAGCAUCUGACAUCCACUCCCUUCACACACCUGUGCACAACCGCAAGGCUUUGCCGUCUGAAUCGCAGGCUUCCUGUGAUUGCUUACGCGUCGCCUUGCCCACUCCUUACAUGCCCCCAUUAAAAGUGAUGUUAGAACGACGUUUUGUGUGCGAUCAUCUCGCGCGAAACAAAUACAACUUUCAGCAACGGAUCUCUUGGCUCUC
rnacentral:misc_RNA from 1 species